CUCUAUACUCCAUCGGCCCUCAUAUUUGAUCCACACGAAGAUCACCCCAGAACUAUCACAUGACGCCAGUUUCUGGUAUGGCUCAUUCCACUUCACCAAGAUCACCUACAAGAAAAUUACAUACUUAGAGAAAUAUUACUACUGCAGAAGAACCAGAAGUUGCACAUACCGAGAUCAGGUACAUAAGAAGAGUACUCCUAUCAUUUUGAUGCUAUUUUCAGCCAAAAACUUUAAAGUUCUUUUAGCAGUGUGAGCAUUGUCAUGGUGCAAAAUUAAACCAUUAAUGUUUAAGUCUUGAAAUACUUCUGACAAGCAUUGUUCAGUGUGCCAAC